GUGCCAUCCAAACCUGUGGAUAAACCUCAAAGGGUGUCCAAAAAAAAAUAUUCCAUUCUACUACAUCACCUUCCACAAUUAUUCUUGAAAGUUGCAAUCUUUUCGCCAAUUGAAUUCCAAAACCAUAAGCUUUUGCUUCCGCUGCUGUUGCUGAGAAAGUAUCGAAACAUAAAGCACCACUUCCCCUAUGAGAUCCAUUCGAGUCUACUGCCACUGCUGCCACAACAUCCUUUCCAUUAUUAAAAGCGGCAUCAACAUUUAUAUUCACAAAAGAGAUAAGAGGAGGGACGCUCGUUAGGUGAUUAUGUUGCUUGCGAUGGUGUUACGGUGAUGGUGGGCGUUAUUGGGGGUGCUCACUGAUGUUAAAAUUAUUCGUUACAUUGAAUCCCAUAGAUUCAUAUCCCGUAAUCGAUUUCAUACGUUACAGUCAUACAUCAAUUCCUUGAAAUGUUCCACUGAACUCAAGAGAGAGGUUAUCAUCUUCCCGGGUUUCUCUAAUUCUUUCUCCAGCAUACCCUCUCAAGAAUACAAGACUACUUUUUUGGUCUAUUGGGAAAAAAGCUAGCUUCGAUCUGUCUCAGGUAUUGCUGAAGUUGCUCUAGAUAGGAUUGGUGGAUCCCCUGUAAUAACUGAAUCAAGAGAUGGAAAUGAUAGAGAAGGUGGGAAAUGUUACUCUUGGAACUGUUGUUUAUCGCAAAACUGGAGCUUCUGAUCCAACCUUCACAGCGACUACGAAUCUCUUCCACACCCUCCAUAAUUAUUAGUGGUUGCAACUGUGAUCCUGGACGUGAUUAUGAUUUGGACAAGGCCGAGGAGAAUUGAAGCUGUAUCAUAGGCUCAACUUUCGUCUUAUAAUGAUGAAAUGGGAAAAAAAAAUUGUUUCAUAUAUUGAUCUUUUCGGUUGUAUUUAAAUAUUUUUGUCGUCAGUUCCACGAUGUCGAGGAAUAUUAGUUUUGUGCAUUCUGUCCUAUUGCUUCCUCUCUUUUGAAACCAGGCGUGUAAAAUUGUAUUUUUUUUGUUCCCAUUAAUAUCAAGCUAUGGUGGUGACAAGUCUGCAA